UACGGGGGGGGCAAGCGUUGUUCGGAAUUACUGGGCGUAAAGGGCUCGUAGGCGGCCAACUAAGUCAGACGUGAAAUCCCUCGGCUUAACCGGGGAACUGCAUCUGAUACUGGAUGGCUUGAGUUCGGGAGAGGGAUGUGGAAUUCCAGGUGUAGCGGUGAAAUGCGUAGAUAUCUGGAGGAACACCGGUGGCGAAGGCGGCAUCCUGGACCGACACUGACGCUGAGGAGCGAAAGCCAGGGGAGCCAAAGCGGGGAU
rnacentral:rRNA from 1 species